UCUGAACCCUCACAUCAGCUCAGCUUCCAUGAUUAAGUUAUAUUGAAGCAGAUGAUGAAGUUGACUUGAUUGUUCAAAAAACAUGGAUGUAACCAUCAUCCAAUACCAAUGAUAUUAAUAAUCUUUGUGGAGACCAGAAAAUAUCCUUUUAGAAGUACAGAUUUGAAGGUUUGGCCAUAAUGCUUAGAAAAUGAUAUGAAAGUACAGUGUUAUGUCAACCAGUUAUUUAGGUGCAGUUUUAACAAAGAAAAAUCAACAUGAGCAAAAAGAUGUUAAAGUGACAAAACCAACUUUUAUUUUUUAAUGCAGAACCAUAAUAAGGAAGGUGUUGAACUCUUCAUGCCUACCCAUAGCACCAACCUCCAUAGCAGAGAGGUGCAGGAAAUAAGUGACUCCUUCAGCAGCUCCCCAUCCCACUGGAGCUCCAUCCAGGCCUGCCAUUUCUUUCUCUGGUUAAGUCAACUCCUCUAUCUACUAGCUGUGAUGGAACACAAGUCAAAUAGACCUGGCAGCAGUAACAAGGUGCUGUAGUGACUGACAUCAGGCUUAUGGACAUGCACCAGCAUACUUCUAUUUAAAAAUGCACCUGCCACAAAUGCAAGAUUCAAGACUGUCUACCUGCUAUAUCAUUUAUAGUGUAAUUUUUUCUAGAUUUCUUUUUAAAAGGUGUAGUAUAGAUGAUAUAACAACAAAAUUUGAGCAUCAUAAUAUGAGUAGAUAUCAUGAUGUAUGGUAAUUUUUGUGUGCAUUGUUAUUCAAUUUCAUAUAGUUAUUUACAAAACUUGAAUUGAAAUCAGCCAAAAAAUUAAGAAUGAUUGUACAGAAGACCUUGCAUGGUUUUGUUGUAAAAUUGAAAAGCAGGUUUUAAGCUUAGGUAAAUCAUCCUUGGUCACCAAAUGACAGUUUACCAAGCCACAAGACAAUAUGCAGCUUGUCUUAGUUCCUUUAAUUUUUAAAUUCAUACUAUUUCCAUGUGUUAUUUGCUAUUUCUAGUAGCAGUUUACCUUCCACUACAAAAUUUUGAUAUGCAGUGUUCAGACAUUUCAAUUUUUGUCUCUGUGUGACUAAAUCCAUGCAAGUUUUAUCAUUUACUUUAUUGAUGUUUUGAAUACAAAGUCUGCAUGUUAGUCCCUUACUUGUCAAACCAUCUCCCAUCAAUAUUGCACACUUAUUUCACCAUGUUCCUUUCAGUAUAUUUCAGCUAUUUUCAUAUUGUCUAUAGUGGCACAAGUUGCACAAUCAUGAAGCAUUACACUUCUCACACAUGGAAUUGAUCAUGAAGCUUUGCACUUCUCACAUGUGGAAUUGAUCAGUCUACCUUCAUGAGUUGUGUUUCAUUGUUAGAUAUAGGAUUAAUUACCUCAACUUUUUGUUCAAUUCCCUGCAUUAGUCUUAUUAUGAUGGCAGGGAAUCUUCCAGUAUCAGUAUUUCUAACUUUGGCUUCUUUCAUUGAUUGACACAUUGCAUGCACUGAAAGUAACAAGAGCUGUACUACUCAAAGCUGUUCAUUACAGCACUAUGCACACUGCUUGCAAUAACAGUCAUCCCACACAAUACCAAUACUGCAUAUUGCACAUGGCCAAGCAUCCUUGUCUCUGGCACAGUGUUUAUCAUCAAUAUUUAGGGCUUAUGGAUUCCAUGUCACUUUCCACCCAGAUAAUACGAAGGUCAUAAAAUGACCUACCAUCUUUCUUUGAGUAUAGACUGACCCCUGAUUCACACACACACACACACACACACACACACACACACACACACACACACACACACACACACACACACACACACACACACACACACACACACACACACACACACACACACACACACACACACUAUAUCUGUUCUAUACCCACACACUCGGUCUGUCCUUUACUUAUAAUGUAAACUGGAAACUUCACAUCUUAUCUCUAACUAAAAACAGCUUCUUUGAAGUUAGGCAUUCUGAGACAUCUCUGCCAGUUCCCCCACCAUCCUCCAGGUGCUAAUUCUGUACAAGGGCCUUAUCCGUUCAUGUACGGAGUAUGCUGCACAUGUCUGGGGGGGUUCCACUCAUACCGCUCUUCUAGACAGGGUGGAAUCAAAAGCUUUUCGCCUCAUCAACUCCUCUCCUCUAACUGACUGUCUUCAGCCUCUCUCUCAAUGCCGCAAUGUUUAAUUUCUAACUAUCUUCUACCACUAUUUUCAUGCUAACUGCUCUUCUGAUCUUGCUAACUGCAUGCCUCCCCUCUUCCCACGUCCUCACUGCACAAGACUCUUCUUUCUCUCACCCCUAUUGUGUCCACCUCUCUAAUGCAAGAGUUAACCAGUAUUCUCAGUCAUUCAUCCCUUCCUCUGGUAAACUCUGGAACUCCCUACCUGCUUCUGUAUUUCCACCUUCUUAUGACUUGAAUUCCUUCAAAAGGGAGAUUUUUUGGCUAUCGCUUUGGACCCUUUUCUGGGACUGGCAUCUCAGUGGGCUUUUUUUUUUUUUUUUUUUA